rnacentral:rRNA from 1 species
AGCCCUUCGGGGUGAGUACAGUGCGAACGGGUAGUAACACGUGGGCAACCUGCCCCUCGCAGGGGGACAACCGGGGGAAACCCCGGCUAACACCCCGUACGCUUGUGGGGUCGCAUGGCCCGGCAAGGAAAGGUAGCUUCGGCCAUCCGGCGAGGGAUGGGCCCGCGGUACAUUAGCUAGUUGGUGGGGUAACGGCCCACCAAGGCGACGAUGUAUAGCUGGUCUGAGAGGAUGAUCAGCCACACUGGGACUGAGACACGGCCCAGACUCCUACGGGAGGCAGCAGUCGGGAAUCUUGCGCAAUGGGCGAAAGCCUGACGCAGCAACGCCGUGUGAGCGACUAAGGCCUUCGGGUCGUAAAGCUCUGUUGUUGGGGACGAAGGGUUAGGGGUUAAUAGCCCCGAGCCUGACGGUGA